rnacentral:lncRNA from 1 species
CCCAGGCUGGAGACCCCAGGUCCUAGGAGCCUGUGUGGGCCCCAGCAAGGUGGGGACAGGUGGGCGCGGGGCCGCCUCCUUCAGCCUGCGCCCGCAGCUCUGUGGCCCCCGCACCCAGGGCUGCCUUGAGGGAGCACUGGCUCUGUGGCCAUGCUGGGCUCUGUACCUCUCCACCUGGCUUCACUGAUUCAGCACCUCGAUUCCUCUCCCUGACACGCAUUCUGCGUGGAGCUGAAAUGAUAUGGAAGGUCCUCCCCGUCCCCAGGCACCUCUGACCCAGUAAAUGUGGGUUCUUCUGGAAGGCUUGGCCCCGCCGGUGCACCUAGGGAAUCGUUACCAUGGGGUGGAAGCAAAUGUCUCCCCUGGGGACACCGAAGCCCAAGUCAAGCCCCAGCACUGCCGACUCCAUGUGGGUGACUGUGGACAAAGAGCUGGGCCCCUCAGAGCCUCUGAGAUGCAGAGUGGGUGACGUCCAGGUCACAGGCUGCAACGAGGUUGAUGCCCAGGUCCAGCACUGACACCCAGCCUGCCCAGCCCAGGUGACCACAUCCCCACGGCUCUCGUGGCAGAAGCACUUUCCCUAGCACCCCUACACCCCUGGGGUGAACCAGGCCCACCUGCGGGUUUCCGGGUGGACGGGCAGAGCCGGUGAACAGCCUCGGAUAAAGGCGUCACACUCAGAUGCGGGCCGGGGCCAGGGGUCUCUGAAGGGGGUGGACCCCCAUCUGCAGAAGUUUCUGCACAAUCUGUGUCUUGACCUGGGCAUCUGUGAACCCUAGGCCAUUCCAUGGGGCCACCAAGAGUCUCAGUGGUGAUUUUAAACUGUCGCCCUCGGCAGCUCAGUAUUCACAGUCAACACAGCAGGCUCCCCGGCCCCCGGGCCUCAGGGUCCCUCUCCCGUCUUGAAGUUCAGCCAUGCCCUGGACAGAAGCCACAUCCUGACUUCCAAAAACGCAAUUUCCACUCUUCUGUGAGCCUGGUGACAAUAACAAAAACCAGCUUUGGUUUCACAUGGACCUGGUGUCUGGGGUCAGCAGGAGUGAGGGCACUGACCCAACACGCCUCAUCUCCCGGCACCCGGCGACCACCCGCCCUGCCUGGUGCGUUUUCUGUCUCCUGAGCAUCUCUGAGCUCAGGACCCUGGGUGGGGCGUGGGGCAUCUGGUACAGGUGGUCCCUCCCAACUCCCCUCACCUCUUCCAGGUAAGAGACCUCCAGCCAGGAGGAACCGGGAGCACCUGUGUGGGUCCCAACACCGAGCAGCCCACAGUCUCCCCAGCACUGACAGGCCCCCACAAUGGAGAGAGAGCAGGGCCAGGGCCGGACAAAAGCAAACCUGGGAAUGGCCGGGGCCGCCAGCCUUGACCUCCAGAGCCAUGUUACUAUGACUACUAACGCCAUCGUUGUUGUUGUUACUGGUUUUAUUUUCAUUUUCUUCAAAGACAGUAUAUCCACGUGUGUUUUUCUAAAAUCUAACUGCGCCAAAUGGCAUAAAAAAUGAGUCUCCCUCUCAGCCCUGGAGGUUCACGGCCCCUCCCUAGUGGUCCUCACCGUCACCAGCCUCUCCUAGGCCCCUGGGCAUGGAUUCAGCUCCCCCAGAUUCCCCAUGAUGACGAUGCUGUCGUGCACUUUGAUGCCGUCACCCCCACAUGAGCCCCAAGAGGCAAGGGACACUAGGGCGCACAGGCUUUGCUCACCAGGGCACAGGAAGGACCAGAGACCGUCUGAGCCACUAAUUCAGUGUGGCCGAGGCCUGGCCGACCCUUCGCAGGCAGGUGGAUGGUGGUAACCCAGCCCUGCCUCCUCUCCCCAGUGGGCCCCGGGCACCCUUCCUUCCCCUAGCCUCAGCUUCCCCACCUCGGACCCUGUCUCCUCUCCCUGGCAGGCCCCAGGGAUCCUUGCCUCCCUUGGCUUCAGCUUCCCAACCCCAGAGUAGGGACUAGAUGUGACAGCAUGUCACGUCCCAGCUCCGAGGCCUGGCAGAGGGUCCUCAAGCCUGGAGAGGCAGCGUCCCUGCAGCCUCACGCACCCACGACAGACACGUCCCUUCCCCUGUCCCACGGGUCAUCACCCACGGGGUACUGCAAAAGUUAACAUCUUUCCCAGCAGAAGGUCACAAUGUAUUUGCCUCCCUGUUGAGAUCAACUGAGCCUCCAAGGCCUGGCUGGAAAAUAAAGACCCCAAAUGAAA